AUCCUUGCUGAGCACCGCAUUCUGAACAAAACAGCAUCGACUCUGGAGCACAGCCAAAAUGCCAGGAACGAAAGGUAACAAGUCGGACAAGAAGUCAACUACCAAGCAACCUCAGAGUCCUAAAGAGCAGCCGAAGAAAGGUGAUCAGAAAGGAGAUGACAACAAGAAGCAAGGAGGACAGCCGAAGGGAGAGAAGCAGUAACUUCCAGGCCUUUGUGAAGAUGGCACUGGAGACGUUGCUGGGCUCCUGCCGUCGCAAACACGGGGGUCCUCGGAGCAGGCAGGGCUAAGCCGAGUUCACCGCCCCCGAGCCGGAUUGUUGGGUGGCCUUCCAACACGACAUUUGCUCAUCUCUCUCUCACAGAGAAGGAAAAUCAAACGGAUUCCAGAUGUCUCUCCCUCUCCCAUGUUCUCAGCCUUUAUCUGUGACCACACUGUCCACCCAACAUGCUGGAUGCUUGUACUCCAGUCCCCCCCAAAAAAAAUCAUUGCUCAGAGCAAGACCCCAUUUUGUCACCCUUUCCCAACUCAUCCUCAGUAUGGACUGUUUAACAGUCUAUACAUUUUUCUUGUAAAUAAUUAUUCAAAUAAACAACUCUUUCUUACAUGA